GCUCUGAAUCUGCACUUUUAUCUGGGAAUCAGAGACUUUCAGCCUCUGAAAUAUGGACGAGUGAACCAGGAUGUGUUCAGCUGCUGCUCACUGUGAGUCCGUCAGGCCGUGAUCUCAUGACGAGUUGCUGGAGGUGGACAGGAAGAGGAACACGCCAUCAGACGUCCUGCGAGGCGGAGCUGUCAGGUAACGUCAUACAUCAGACAUAACGUCCUUCAGCCUGAUCAAUACAGAGAAAGAGAGGUGGACUGACAGUGAAACCGGGCUGUGGGCGAGCGAGCAGGAUGGCAGUCAUGUGACCUGAGGAGGAAGAUGAAGAGCGAGAUUCCAGAUCACAUCCCGUCCUGCUGUCCGCUCACCUGCGUAACCACCGACAACGCUUCCACCUCACCUCACCUCGUCUCCGGCGAGCGCAGCAGAGUCCGACUGAACAUCAGCUCGAUGUUUCCUCACUGAGACACCAGAGGAAGUCACGGUCAGAGAGCGCUCUGCACUUCCUCUUGUGUCAGAUAACAUCAGUUACACACUCUUACUACACAGCUUCAGACCUCACACACACACACACGGACACACACGGACACACACACACACACACACGCACACACACACACACACACACACACACACACACACACAUCACACAACAUUUUAAAGAUGCAUGAAGUGAUUUUUGGGCACCAUGAGACAAACCGUCAGCGCCGACUCCUCUGACUUCCUGUGAUUGAACUACAGACUCUGUGUCACUGGAGAUGGACCUGAACUGGGUGAAAUCUCUGGUUCUGCAUCAGGUGGACUAACACCAGAGAGAGUGGAGGCUGUUGGAUCAGAACAUUGUUCUCCUGCAGCUGCUUCCCCAAACAAGACAAACAUGAAGCAGAUCAGCUGACGCCUCAGUUAAAGUGUUUCGUCGCCACACGUCGAUAGAACGCUCAGGUUCUCCUGAUCCAUCCAUGUAAACCAUUUAAAGAUUAAACCACAUCAGCAAGGAACAAUCAACAAACAAACAAGCUAACUAGCAUGUUCAAGGUUCUGCCGACGAUGGCAGAACAGACAUCCCGCCGUUUGAUUGACAGCUCAUUUGAGCAGAUAUGAUCUUAUCUGCCCGCCCUAGAGCCUGCAACAACCAAUGGGUGAUGGUGUAGACAAGGCACCCACUCUCUCUUCUUUCCCCUCCAUCCUGAGCCAAUUACACGCCAGUCCCCGGUUGAUUGACACAUCACGUAACCAAUGAGAUUCCAGAUCCAGUAAUAUGUAGUUUAUACCCGUUUUUAAAGCCCUAAAACUGGAAAUUAUGUAGGUUUAUGUGUUUUAUUCUUUGGUUAUUUAUUUAUUGUACAUAAGCACAUAAAGAACAAUAGUGAGUUUUUGCCUGCAGGAGCAUUUUUGGGUCACAGAAAUAAAGAAAAUACUGCAGUAGAGUGCA